AAUGUUUACAGUGGGGUAGAUCAGGUGGCUGCAGCAUCAGAGGAGCUAGGCAGCAGCAUGCAGCUGUGAGAAAAGGAUGGAGAUGGCUUUAAAACAGCAUCUUGCUGCUGCUGGAGGACCAGGAACAGGCUGGGGCUCAAAGGACAAAGUCACCAGUACUGUUGUGUGUGUCCUGCUUUCCCCCCACCAUAGACUGGGGAGAACUGGGCAGUAGCCAUCCUCCGCCAUGGAAGGCCAGGGAUGCCUGUGGAGAAGCAGAUGCACCAGACCCCUUGUGUGUAAAAUCCUCUUCCUUCCUUGUGCAGGGAGCUCGGAAGUGAGCAGGCUCAUCUGUCACUGCAUCUCUUGAAAGCAGUAAUGUCAUCACCCUAAGCACAGAACUGCUUUGAAAGACCCUUGGAGUGGAUGCAAGGGUUCACUUGGUCAAAAAAAAGGAAGUUUUCUGAAUCAGUUGUUUCCCAUGUUAGGAUGAAUUUAGCUUCCAGUUCCCAG